rnacentral:lncRNA from 1 species
GUUAGAUAAAUGUAGUGCUGGAAUGUCUACAGCUAAUGCUGGCUAGAUAUCUCUAAACUGCCAAUGCUAUUAUUUAUGGCAAUCUCAAGUUUAAAGAUCAACUCAUCUUUGUAAUUCUCUUCUACUCCAAGACCCAUAAGCAUCUCAAAUGGUGCAUGAAGCAAAUGUUGUUGAUGGAUUUUUUCAAAGUGGAUUAUCCUUCAUGAUAUCUAACACUGUCCUUUUGAGGUAAUGUCAAGACCUUGCCAGUCUCCCAGUCAUUUCACAGCAGCUACUAAAGUCCCAGUAACCCUUUUCUUGGUUUUCAGAGAACUGGCAAAAUAGAGAAGUUUGCAUCAUCAAUACCAUGUCCUCACACUGCCAUUUGACAUGAGGAAAAAGAUAAAAAAGAAUAAUUCUCCAGGAUGUUCCGGGAUACCUGGCAAAUGGUCUCUGCAAAUUUGUGUUAAAGAGAGGAGAUUCUUUUUAUUUCAUCUAAUAUGAAAUAUCAGAAUUACAGGAAACAGGAAAAAAUAUUAACAAAGCAAUGCAGAUUUGAAGCAGAAAUGAUCUGUAAUAAAAUUAAGCAGCAACUGAUGUCCUUCCUCAAGGAGCAUAUCUGAAUGAAGAUGAAGCUUGAGAGCAGGAGGUGAAGUAUGUGCAGUAAAUGAAUAUCUUGUAAAAGUUCUUUUUGGUUAUUCCCUCUUUUUAUUUUUUUCCCCUUAAAGUAUUUAAUAUUUUUUGAUACAUAAUUAUAGAACAGUAAUAAUUGGAAAGUCUUGGGUGAAGCAAUAGUACAAAGGAGAAAGGAGAUGGAUUGGUUCUUUUUCCAUUGUCUUCUUACUGAACCUAAUGUCAAUUGCACCUGAUGUAAACCUACUAUAUAAGCCAAGGAAAUGUACUGGUACCUAUGAAAUGUAAGAAUAAUAUUUGCUUAAUGAAUAUUCUCUCUGGAAGUUCCUUAAAAAAUAUUUGAUAACAAAAAGGAGCUUCUCAAAAUGUACAUGCCUUGUUUACCUCUUUUUUUUCCUCUUUGGAAAUUUCCUCUUUGGAUUAUUGACUUAUUGAUAGUCUGGUUGGGUCAAAGGUACAUAUGGAAACGUUGAUAUGGUAUGUUUCAUGCAGAAGGUACUUUUUCCCUUUUAUUUUAUUUUUAAUGUUUUUUUUUAUUUUUCUUUUGACAAUUGAUUCAUAUACCUCAUAACUCAGUCAUGUAUCCCUGGGUGUUCCAUGUG